GUAUGGUCUGGCUGGUUAGGGGUGGAUUCUGGUAUGGUCUGGCUGGUUAGGGGUUGAUUCUGGUCUGGCUGGUUAGGGGUGGAUUCUGGUCUGGUCUGGCUGGUUAGGGGUUGAUUCUGGUCUGGGUUGAUUCUGGGUUGGCUACCUGUCAGUAUGGUGGUAGAACUGAAUAUGGUGCCAUUUGGGAUGUUUAUGCUCUGAUUCCAACCUCUUCUUCUGCUGCCAGUCUACUGGCUCUACUGUUGAUUUGAUUAGGACCCUCAUUGGUCAAUAGAAUAUAAUUUUAAAUACAUGUUUUGAUCUUAAGGAUUCUGGUUAAGCUGAUCAUUUAGAUGCAACAGUGUCUGUAAAACUAUCCCCUUUUGUGAGCCGUUCCAUUUGAUUUCAUAAUCACAGGAUACUCUUAAAAGUCCUUCGCAUCCUGUCUCCUGCUUUGUUUCUGAGAGGAAAGGAUGUGAGGAAUCAAGGACGCACUUUUGAGAUUCAUUCAAACCCUAAACAUAUUAUUGCCUGUCUUUU
rnacentral:lncRNA from 13 species